rnacentral:rRNA from 1 species
GACGAACGCUGGCGGCGUGCCUAACACAUGCAAGUCGAGCGCGGAGGGGACUUCGGUCCCCCGUAAAGCGGCGAACGGGUGAGUAACACGUGGGCAACCUGCCUCAAGGACUGGGAUAACUCCGGGAAACCGGGGCUAAUACCGGGCGAUGUCGUCUGCCGCAAGCCGGCCGACCAAAUGGUAGCUUCGGCCUCCGCCUUGAGAUGGGCCCGCGUCCUAUCAGCUUGUUGGUGAGGUAACGGCUCACCAAGGCUACGACGGGUAGCUGGUCUGAGGGGAUGAUCAGCCACGCUGGGACUGAGAUGCGGCCCAGACUCCUACGGGAGGCGGCAGUGGGGAAUUUUGCGCAAUGGGCGAAAGCCUGACGCAGCGACGCCGCGUGGGGGAUGAAGGUCUUCGGAUUGUAAACCCCUUUCGGCAGGGAAGAUGGAACGGGUAACCGUUCGGACGGUACCUGCAGAAGCAGCCACGGCCAACUUCGUGCCAGCCGCCGCGGUAAAAC